UACGUAGGAGGCGAGCGUUGUCCGGAAUUAUUGGGCGUAAAGGGCGCGUAGGCGGUGCGGUAAGUCACCUGUGAAAUCUCCUGGCUCAACUGGGAGCUUGCAGGCGAAACUGCCGUGCUGGAGUGUGGGAGAGGUGCGUGGAAUUCCUGGUGUAGCGGUGAAAUGCGUAGAUAUCAGGAGGAACACCUGUGGCGAAAGCGGCGCACUGGACCACAACUGACGCUGAGGCGCGAAAGCUAGGGGAGCAAACAGG
rnacentral:rRNA from 1 species